rnacentral:tRNA from 1 species
GUAACUGUAGCUCAGUGAAGAGCGCCGGUCUUGUAAUCCGGAUGUCGGAGACUAAAUUCCUCCCUGUUACU